rnacentral:rRNA from 1 species
AGUGAACGCUGGCGGUAGGCCUAACACAUGCAAGUCGAACGGCAGCACAGUAAGAGCUUGCUCUUACGGGUGGCGAGUGGCGGACGGGUGAGGAAUACAUCGGCAUCUACUUUUUCGUGGGGGAUAACGUAGGGAAACUUACGCUAAUACCGCAUACGACCUACGGGUGAAAGCAGGGGAUCUUCGGACCUUGCGCGAUUGAAUGAGCCGAUGUCGGAUUAGCUAGUUGGCGGGGUAAAGGCCCACCAAGGCGACGCUGCGUAGCCGCCCUGAGAGGAUGAGCGGCCACACGGGAACUGAGACACGGUCCAGCCUCCUACGGGAGGCACCAGUCGGGAAUGUUCCGCAAAGGGCCAAAGCCGGACGGAGCAAUGCCGCGUGAGGGAUGAAGGUCUUCGGACCCUAAAACUCUGUUAUUAGGGAAGAACAUCUGUGUAAGUAACUGUGCACAUCUUGACGUUACCUAAUCAGAAAGCCACGGCUAACUACGUG